AUCAAAACACCGGAAGGAAGUCACUUGUUUAUCUACAAAACAGGACCUGGCAGGGCAGGUUCCCCAGCACUGACCUGGCAUGUCCUUCAACACUGCUUGGGGACAUUCGCAUGACAGAUGGGAAGGCUGUUCAGUCCAUGCUCGGUAAGUCUUUGACCAUG
rnacentral:sRNA from 1 species